rnacentral:misc_RNA from 1 species
CCUGCGGUCUCCCUGUGUUAACGCUCCUAGAGAUUCUAAUCUCUUGGCAACUAUAGAUGCAAAUCGGCGUUCACCACCAAGGUUUGUAAACAGUAGCCUACUAUAUUCUGGUGCAGAAGCUUGAUUUGAUCGAUGAGUUCUUCCAAACUGUUGAAUUGCCCGGUCAGCACUCCAAGGAAGUUCUAGUGUCAAAUGAACUCUUCUUUUCUGAUUGACUGCUCUUCUGUCCGCCUGCAGUGAUACACCAGCUGAUCCAGCCUCAGAAAUGAUAGCAACCAAUUUCUUACCGUCCAUAAAUAGCUGCUUCUCAUGCAUGUUGACCAUUUCCAUGGUGACAUCCUUUGUGUUCCGUGCCUGAUAAGUUACACCUUUUCCAUUAGAGGCCCUUACAAGCAUACCUCUCCUCCCAGUCAUUUCUGCAACUUUAUCAGGGCCUCCAAGCUGAUCAAUAAUAUCAUCCAAAGGAUUAUUUGGGAGAUCCAAGGAGCGAAUUAUCUCCAAAAUUUUUGACUUGCGCUCCAAACCUGCUUCAUACCUCUUCAAG